rnacentral:rRNA from 1 species
CCUUCGGGUGAGCGGCGGACCGGUGAGUAACGCGUGGGAACGUGCCCUUUGGUACGGGAUAACUGAGGGAAACUUCAGCUAAUACCGUAUGUGCCCUACGGGGGAAAGAUUUAUCGCCAUUGGAGCGGUCCGCGUUGGAUUAGGUAGUUGGUGAGGUAAAGGCUCACCAAGCCUACGAUCCAUAGCUGGUCUGAGAGGAUGAUCAGCCACACUGGGACUGAGACGCGGCCCAGACUCCUACGGGAGGCAGCAGUAGGGAAUCUUGCGCAAUGGGCGAAAGCCUGACGCAGCCAUGCCGCGUGUAUGAUGAAGGUCUUAGGAUUGUAAAAUACUUUCACCGGGGAAGAUAAUGACGGUACCCGGAGAAGAAGCCCCGGCUAACUUCGUGCCAGCAGCCGCGGUAAUACGAAGGGGGCUAGCGUUGCUCGGAAUUACUGGGCGUAAAGGGCGCGUAGGCGGACAGUUUAGUCAGAGGUGAAAGCCCAGGGCUCAACCUUGGAAUUGCCUUUGAUACUGGCUGUCUUGAGUUCGGGAGAGGUGAGUGGAAUGCCGAGUGUAGAGGUGAAAUUCGUAGAUAUUCGGCGGAACACCAGUGGCGAAGGCGACUCACUGGCCCGAUACUGACGCUGAGGCGCGAAAGCGUGGGGAGCAAACAGGAUUAGAUACCCUGGUAGUCCACGCUGUAAACGAUGAGUGCUAGUUGUCGGCAUGCAUGCAUGUCGGUGACGCAGCU